GAUGAACGCUGGCGGCGUGCUUAACACAUGCAAGUCGAACGGAAAGGCCCGGCUUUUGUGGCGUGCUCGAGUGGCGAACGGGUGAGUAACACGCGAGUAACCUGUCCCUGUCUUUGGGAUAACUUCAGGAAACUGGGGCUAAUAUCGGAUAGGAGCUCUUGCUGCAUGGUGGGGGUUGGAAAGUUUCGGCGGUUGGGGAUGGACUGGCGGCUUAUCAGCUUGUUGGUGGGGUAGUGGCUUACCAAGGCUUUGACGGGUAGCCGGCCUGAGAGGGUGACCGGCCACAUUGGGACUGAGGUACGGCCCAGACUCCUACGGGAGGCAGCAGUGGGGAAUAUUGCACAGUGGGCGGAAGCCUGAUGCAGCAACGCCGCGUGCGGGAUAACGGCCUUCGGGUUGUAAACCGCUUUCGCCUGUGACGAGGCGUGAGUGACGGUAAUGGGUAAAGAAGCACCGGCUAACUACGUG
rnacentral:rRNA from 1 species